GAGUUGUUAAAUGCAUUUUCAAUGCACAUGACCGUUGUGAAAAUACAAUGCAUUUUUAAUGAUUAAAAAAAAGAAAAACUAUGGCAAAAAGAAAGUAGAAGCGUUACUACUAGUAUGAACGUGUCUGCAACAAGGAAUGGAAUUGAAGGCUAAAUAUCCAAAGCACUCUGACAUGUGCCUCUUGGCAAAUGUGUAGACACGGUCUCAAUAUGA
rnacentral:lncRNA from 1 species